rnacentral:rRNA from 1 species
GACAGAGGGUGCAAACGUUGUUCGGAUUUACUGGGCGUAAAGCGUGUGUAGGCGGCUUGGCAAGUUGGAUGUGAAAGCCCACGGCUCAACCGUGGAAGCGCAUCCGAAACUGCUUCGCUCGAGUCUCGGAGAGGAAGGUGGAAUGCUUGGUGUAGAGGUGAAAUUCGUAGAUAUCAAGCAGAACACCUGCGGCGAAGGCGGCCUUCUGGACGAUGACUGACGCUGAGACACGAAAGCGUGGGGAGCAAACAGG